GUAAUAAAAAUAAUUUAGUUCAGUAAAAGAACAGACAGUACAAUUAAAAACUGAACGCGGCUACUCAAUGUAGCGUGCCGAAUGACAGUCGCAUCACAUGAUAAGAAUUAAUUUAUGA